rnacentral:rRNA from 1 species
UCUCCUGGAAACGGGUGGUAAUGCCGGAUGUUCCACAUGAGCGCAUGCGAGUGUGGGAAAGGCUUUUUGCGGCAUGGGAUGGGGUCGCGUCCUAUCAGCUUGUUGGUGGGGUAACGGCCUACCAAGGCGUUGACGGGUAGCCGGCCUGAGAGGGCGACCGGCCACAUUGGGACUGAGAUACGGCCCAGACUCCUACGGGAGGCAGCAGUGGGGAAUAUUGCACAAUGGGCGCAAGCCUGAUGCAGCGACGCCGCGUGCGGGAUGGAGGCCUUCGGGUUGUAAACCGCUUUUGUUCAAGGGCAAGGCACGGUUUCGGCCGUGUUGAGUGGAUUGUUCGAAUAAGCACCGGCUAACUACGUGCCAGCAGCCGCGGUAAUACGUAGGGUGCAAGCGUUAUCCGGAUUUAUUGGGCGUAAAGGGCUCGUAGGCGGUUCGUCGCGUCCGGUGUGAAAGUCCAUCGCUUAACGGUGGAUCCGCGCCGGGUACGGGCGGGCUUAAGUGCGGUAGGGGAGACUGGAAUUCCCGGUGUAACGGUGGAAUGUGUAGAUAUCGGGAAGAACACCA